CUGCGCCUACGGGACGCAGCAGUGAGGAAUAUUGGUCAAUGGGCGGGAGCCUGAACCAGCCAUGUCGCGUGAGGGAAGACGGUCCUAUGGAUUGUAAACCUCUUUAGGCGGGGAGCAAUGCCGGGCACGCGUGCCCGGAGGGAGAGUACCCGCAGAAUAAGCAUCGGCUAACUCCGUGCCAGCAGCCGCGGUAAUACGGAGGAUGCGAGCGUUAUCCGGAUUUAUUGGGUUUAAAGGGUGCGUAGGCGGACUGUUAGGUCUGCGGUAAAAGCCCGGGGCUCAACCCCGGC
rnacentral:rRNA from 1 species